AAGACUUUAUGUUAAUAAACAAAUAACCUUCAAAGUUAUAAUUAAAAGUUUUAAUCUUUUAAGUCUUA
rnacentral:tRNA from 1 species